rnacentral:rRNA from 1 species
GAGUGCGGCGGUGCUAACACAUGCAAGUCGAGUGCGCGUUUCCGUAGCAAUACGGAAAUGGCGCACGGCGCACGGGUGCGUAACACGUGGGUAAUCUGCCCUUCGAUGGGGAAUAACUCGCCGAAAGGCGAGCUAAUUCCGCAUAACAUUCCUUGGACUCCGGUCCGAGGAUUCAAAGGCGUAAGUCGUCGGAGGUGGAGCCCGCGCACGAUUAGCUAGUUGGUAGGGUAAUGGCCUACCAAGGCUAUGAUCGUUAGCUGGUCUGAGAGGAUGGCCAGCCACACUGGAACUGAGACACGGUCCAGACUCCUACGGGAGGCAGCAGUGGGGAAUCUUGCACAAUGGGCGAAAGCCUGAUGCAGCGACGCCGCGUGGGGGAUGAAGCUUCUCGGAGUGUAAACCCCUUUCGACCGGGACGAAUACCUCGCAAGAGGGGUGACGGUACCGGUAUAAGAAGCCCCGGCUAACUACGUGCCAGCAGCCGCGGUAAGACGUAGGGGGCCAGCGUUGCUCGGA